CAGAGUUUGAUCCUGGCUCAGAUUGAACGCUGGCGGCAGGCUUAACACAUGCAAGUCGAGCGGGCGAGGUUGCUUCGGUAACUGAGCUAGCGGCGGACGGGUGAGUAAUGCUUAGGAAUCUGCCUAUUAGUGGGGGACAACAUUCCGAAAGGGAUGCUAAUACCGCAUACGUCCUACGGGAGAAAGCAGGGGCUCUUUAUGACCUUGCGCUAAUAGAUGAGCCUAAGUCGGAUUAGCUAGUUGGUGGGGUAAAGGCCUACCAAGGCGACGAUCUGUAGCGGGUCUGAGAGGAUGAUCCGCCACACUGGGACUGAGACACGGCCCAGACUCCUACGGGAGGCAGCAGUGGGGAAUAUUGGACAAUGGGGGGAACCCUGAUCCAGCCAUGCCGCGUGUGUGAAGAAGGCCUUUUGGUUGUAAAGCACUUUAAGUGGGGAGGAGGCUUACCUGGUUAAUACCUAGGAUAAGUAGACGUUACCCACAGAAUAAGCACCGCAAC
rnacentral:rRNA from 1 species